rnacentral:misc_RNA from 1 species
GAUGAAGAACGUAGCGAAAUGCGAUAAGUAAUGUGAAUUGCAGAAUUCAGUGAAUCAUCGAAUCUUUGAACGCACAUUGCGCCCGCCAGUAUUCUGGCGGGCAUGCCUGUUCGAGCGUCAUUACAACCCUCAGGCCCCCGGGCCUGGCGUUGGGGAUCGGCGGAGCCCCCCGUGGGCACACGCCGUCCCCCAAAUGCAGUGGCGGUCCCGCCGCUGCUUCCAUCGCGUAGUAGCUAACACCUCGCGACUGGAGAGCGGCGCGGCCACGCCGUAAAACACCCAACUCUUCUGAAGUUGACCUCGAAUCAGGUAGGAAUACCCGCUGAACUUAAGCAUAUCAAUAAGCGGAGGA